CGGCGGACGGGUGGAGUAAUGCCUAGGAAUCUGCCUGGUAGUGGGGGACAACGUUUCGAAAGGAACGCUAAUACCGCAUACGUCCUACGGGAGAAAGCAGGGGACCUUCGGGCCUUGCGCUAUCAGAUGAGCCUGGGUCGGAUUAGCUAGUUGGUGAGGUAAUGGCUCACCAAGGCGACGAUCCGUAACUGGUCUGAGAGGAUGAUCAGUCACACUGGAACUGAGACACGGUCCAGACUCCUACGGGAGGCAGCAGGC
rnacentral:rRNA from 1 species